GACGAACCGUGCGAACGUUGUUCGGAAUUACUGGGCGUAAAGCGCGCGUAGGCGGCUUUUCAAGUCGAUUGUGAAAUCCCCGGGCUUAACCUGGGAACUGCAGUCGAGACUGUCUAGCUAGAGUAUGGGAGAGGGAAGUGGAAUUUCAGGUGUAGCGGUGAAAUGCGUAGAUAUCUGAAGGAACAUCAGUGGCGAAAGCGACUUCCUGGACCAAUACUGACGCUCAUGUGCGAAAGCGUGGGGAGCAAACAGG
rnacentral:rRNA from 1 species